GGGGGGGGGCGAGGUUAUGGAGACCGGCUGGCGGGGGGCCUCUCCGCAAGACCCUGACUUUCGAGGAGCAUUGGUGCUGGUCACGUGAGAGCCCCGGGGUAACGCAGCUCGUCCAGAGGAAACAGCAGGUGACUCUGUGAUGCUGAGGACCCCACGUGCUGGUCACGUCCCGGGCCUGGCUCACCGCUGGGCUGGCGCCAGUGAUUCAGUGGUGGCAUGGGGGUGGCGCAGGUGAAUGUAAAAGCUUUAAGGAGAAGUUCAUGAAGUGUCUCCGUGACAAUAACUUUGAAAAUGCUUUGUGCAGAAAUGAAUCAAAAGAAUAUUUAGAAUGCAGGAUGGAGAGGCAACUGAUGGCACAGGAGCCCCUGGAAAAACUGGGCUUUGGAGAUUUGAAGGACGGAAAGUCUGACCGAGACUGAACCUGGUGAAAGGCCGCACAGCUGUGGGGGGUCCGGACGACCCCGCCCCCGGCGGCUGGCGUGUUGGUACCACGGCUCGGGGUGGGGGGGCUCUGGGGGCGCCCGCCAGAUGCCGCUGGAAGUCAGAACGGACGCCCCUCCCCGAGGACGCAGCUCGUGGCCGGGCAGGGGCUGGUCUUCGACGCUCCCGAGGAUGUCGGAAACCCGUCGCCCCGCCACAGCCCUGCCGACCCCGCGGCGUUGGGUGCGUCUGAAGUCGCGGGUGUGACGGGCUCCCGCGGAGGUGGCUGCCAUGUGGCGUGCGCCCAGCGACUGGUCAGCUCGGGCUCCUGGGGACGCUGGUUCGCAUCGCGGUCUCGGCGCGUUUUGUGUGUGACGUGCGAAAGGGUCGCAGUGUCGUCGUUGGGCACAUGGGUCGUCGGGAAGUCGUCCCCCAGCACUCGGGUUCCUCUUCGUAUCUUGGACGCAGACACAAGUGCCCCUCACCUCCUUUUUUUAACAAGAACAGAGGACGAGCCCAGAAGUGGGAAAUGGGCUUUUGACGUAUCUGACGUCUCGAUUUUUUUUUUAUGGUGACGCCUGGCACCGAGUAUCUGUCUGAUCAAGGCUCGUUUUCUGGUUCAUAUCAGACCGUGUUUGUAAAACUAGAUGUUGGGUUGGUUCCAAGAACGCAUUUGCUGUCGCUGAGAGACAGAAUGUCUCCGUGGGUCAGUCGUUUUGCACAUGUGGCCUCCCAGGCCUUUGAGGACGCUCGUGAGCCCCCGGCCGGCGCUGCAGCAGCCCGUGCCCGCUGCCCGGAGCGCCGUCAGAACAGACGUCACAGGUGUGCAGACCUGCAGCGAGUGUCUGGGGUGACGCCGCGUGGGCUCAGAACCACAGCAGGGCGCCGUGCCCGAGGGUGAGGCCUGUUUGCCUGGACGAGGCCAGUGGGAGGUGGUGGUGGGAGGAUCCAGGUCGUCCCCGCUGGGACAGGGGCCGGCCUUGGCUGGUGGGGACAGCCAGCCCGAGCUCCGCUUCUGCCUGGUGACCAGGCUGGGCUCUGGGAAGCGCUGCUCCUUGGCUGCGUCCAGGCGCUGUCCGCGUCCUUCGGUGGAGGCCGUACGGGGUCACGCCCUCCCCGACAGUCCUGGUCCCAUUUCCGGGGGCGGAGGGGGCCCCUCACCUAGCACCGCUGCCCCGUUGGUGGUUCAGCGCCAAGCACUCCGUCUGUCACUCCUCAGCCGUGCUCUGCCUCACGCUUCCAAUUGUGCUGCACGUUUUUUCCGUAUUUUUAGUUAGUUUAUGAAAAGUCUUGGUUUUUGGUUAACUGAAUCACGAACAUAUUUUGUAUUUUCUUUUCAUUUUUUUUUAGGGCUGCACCCAUGGCAUCUGGAGGUUCCCAGGCUAGGGGUCCAGUGGGAGCUGUAGCUGCCGGCCUACACCACAGCCACAACAAUGCCAGAUCCUCAGCGCACUGAGCAAGGCCAGGGAUCGAACCUGCAACCUCAGGGUUACUAGUUGGAUUUGUCUCCGCUGUGCGACAGUGGGAACUCUGAAAAUAUAUUGUAUUUUCCGACAUGUUGCACACG
rnacentral:lncRNA from 1 species